rnacentral:rRNA from 1 species
CCUACGGGCGGCUGCAGUGGGGAAUAUUGCACAAUGGGCGCAAGCCUGAUGCAGCCAUGCCGCGUGUGUGAAGAAGGCCUUCGGGUUGUAAAGCACUUUCAGCGGGGAGGAAGGGGGUGAGGUUAAUAACCUCAUCGAUUGACGUUACCCGCAGAAGAAGCACCGGCUAACUCCGUGCCAGCAGCCGCGGUAAUACGGAGGGUGCAAGCGUUAAUCGGAAUUACUGGGCGUAAAGCGCACGCAGGCGGUCUGUCAAGUCGGAUGUGAAAUCCCCGGGCUCAACCUGGGAACUGCAUUCGAAACUGGCAGGCUAGAGUCUUGUAGAGGGGGGUAGAAUUCCAGGCGUAGCGGUGAAAUGCGUAGAGAUCUGGAGGAAUACCGGUGGCGAAGGCGGCCCCCUGGACAAAGACUGACGCUCAGGUGCGAAAGCGUGGGGAGCAAACAGGAUUAGAUACCCUAGUAGUC